CGCGCCCGUCGCGCGAGACAAAUAUCUACCGUAGAGGCAGCCGGCGUUGAUUCCGCAACCGACGAUCCCAAGGUCAUCGCUGAAAACACGAACGACGAAACCGAAGAGAGUUCAUCGCCACGAGGAAAUGUGAGAGCCACAAUGGAUCCCCACCUUCAGAAGGUGGUUGGUGAACUGGAGGCUGUAGAGGCAGCUGCAGAGGAUGUCCUGACUGAUAAACAACAGAUCGUGGACCUGUCACGAAAGCAAAGUGGUUUGCGUGAAGCAUCUCGCGCGGUCAGCUCACUCAUCAAAUCACGCGGCGAGUGCAAAACCUGGGUGGCUGCCGGCAACACCUUUAUCAAGCUGCCCGCUUCGAAGGUGAAGAGUCUUCUUGAAGACGACCAGCUGGAGCUGGACAAAGAGAUCACCGGUCUGCGGGAUGGACUGCGCGGCAAGGUGAACCGCCUCAACGACCUGGAGGGCCGCCCCGACGUGGUCGGCUUCGGCCUGAAGCCGCUGAGCCGCGCCGAGACGGCCGCAGUGCGCCAGGUGCUCGGCGAUAGGUCGUGACGUCAGCUCGGUCAGCGGCACCGACCGCGUCAUUUAAUGAAUGGUUCCAGAUACAGCGUUAAGACUGACGCUGUGAAUGCUCCAUUCCCAACGGAUGGUGUGAGAUGCGCUUGCAACACGAUUUGUGUUUUUGUACUCGCCGGUUUGUGGCGCAUGGAUGGAUUUUCUGUGAUAUAUUGUUAUAUGCUCAUGCUGGCCUAGUGAAGUGCAUGAUCUGCUUGGCAGGCGUGAAUUACCUCGUCAGUUGGACGUUGCUGUACAGAUGCACUUUGGAUG
rnacentral:misc_RNA from 1 species